ACGACCUUACUUGAACAGGAUCUUUCCUAUAGGAUCGUACCUCUGCAUCCUUGAUUUCUAAGGAGACAGGAACUUAAGCUUGGUGGAUGAAUCGUGACCGUGCGAUCAGAGCGUGAUUGUUGACAGCUUCGAUGAUCCUAUUCGUAGGAUACAUCCAGUGGUAGAGGAUCGUUCUCAGUCUUCUUUGAACGGCUGUGAUGGUCGCACGGUUGUCUGACAAGCC